UAGUAGGUCAUGGGUAAUCUUCAGCUCCAUUUCCGUAACCGGCUUCCGUCAUGGCAUCCACACCUACAAGCGGAGCGUACUGCUCUGCUAUAAUUUGCUCGAAUCGCCAAUGUAGGCGACCUGACCUGUCUUUCAUCAGGUUCUCCACUAAAAACGAAAGAUGUCGACAGUGUGUCCAGAAUACUCAUCGACAAGAUCUCCUACACCGAACUACGGAGUACUUGUCAAAGAACUGCCGUCAUUGGUUAGCUGAUAUGCGAAACACUGCAACCCUGUAUAUCUCGCACACAAAACAAUGUCAACUAUGUAAAUCUUACCAUGAAUGACCGAAAUAAAAAGUGUUAUACUUGUU